AUAUAUAUAUAUAAAUAUUUUACAAUAAUUUUGAAUUAUAUCAUAAAUAAGAUCAACAUUAAUAAAAUAAAUGAUUUUUUUUUGUAAGAUGUGUUUGGCGAGACAUUAUUUAAUAAAAAUGGUAAACUAUAAAAUAU
rnacentral:sRNA from 1 species